rnacentral:rRNA from 3 species
UAAGGUGGUUAUAGCAACGGGGCUCACCUCUUACCAUUCCGAACAGAGUAGUUAAGCCCGUUUGCGCAGAUGGUACUGCCAUCUCGGUGGGAGAGUAUGUCGCCGCCUUCU